UUGCUAUCGGUGUCCGACUUAGCCAUGCGAGUUGUACGUAUAACGUAGCAAACUGCUCAGUAACACGUGGCCAAACUGCCCUAUGGACUGGGAUAACCUCGGGAAACUGAGGCUAAUCCCGGAUAGUACAUCCAGCCUGGAAGUGGCGGAUGUAUGAAAUGCUCCGGCGCCAUAGGAUGUGGCUGCGGCCGAUUAGGUAGACGGUGGGGUAACGGCCCACCGUGCCGAUAAUCGGUACGGGUCAUGAGAGUGAGAACCCGGAGACGGACUCUGAGACACGAGUCCGGGCCCUACGGGGCGCAGCAGGCGCGAAACCUUUACACUGCACGCCAGUGCGAUAGGGGGACACCGAGUGCGAGGGCAUAGAGCCCUCGCUUUUGUAGACCGUAAGGAGGUCUACGAAUAAGGGCUGGGCAAGACCGGUGCCAGCCGCCGCGGUAACACCGGCAGCCCAAGUGAUGGCCGAUAUUAUUGGGCCUAAAGCGUCCGUAGCUGGCCGCGCAAGUUCGUCGGGAAAUCCACUCGCUUAACGAGUGGGCGUCCGGCGAAAACUGUGCGGCUUGGGACCGGAAGAUCCAAGGGGUACGUCCGGGGUAGGAGUGAAAUCCCGUAAUCCUGGACGGACCACCGAUGGCGAAAGCACCUUGGAAGGACGGAUCCGACAGUGAGGGACGAAAGCUAGGGUCUCGAACCGGAUUAGAUACCCGGGUAGUCCUAGCCGUAAACGAUGCUCGC
rnacentral:rRNA from 1 species